rnacentral:lncRNA from 1 species
CGCCACCAACAACGCCCCCGGCCUCAUCGGCGCCGGCAGCAAGCUCGCCUUCGGCAACGCCACCACCACCAACGCCGACCGCUACAACUACUUCCCCGCCAACGCCGCUCCCGACGCCAAGAGCAACGCCAACAACAACUCCGGCGGCCUCGCCUUCAGCAAGAACCUCAACAGCCCGGCCGCCGCCCUCGGCAACGACUACUACUUCAGCAAGAACGCCGGCGCCAUGAACGCCAACACCAACGCCGGCGGCGACGUCAUCAAGAGCUACUUCAACAAGUCCGUCGGCAGGCCGGCCAACAACAACAAUAACAACUCCUUCAACGUCGGCAAGAAGAGCGCCGCCGCCCACGACAAGAAGAAGAGCGCCGGCAACGGCAACGGCGCCGGCGUCGACAAGAGGUUCAAGAGCCUGCCGGCGUCGGAGGCGCUGCCCAGGGGCGAGGCCAUCGGCGGGUACAUCUUCGUCUGCAA